AGUGGGGUGAAAGACCUGAGUGAACGUGGGAGCCCCACGCCUGAGGACUCCUCCUGCGGGUGUAUCGUUCCUGACAGAUUCUCCCACAGAAGGCGAUCGCGUGUGCCGGCUACCUGCCCUCCGUCCACCUGUCUCCUCUCUGUCCAGGUCCCACGUAUGAGUGCCAUCACCUGUCUUGCUCUGCCUGACUUAUUUCACGGAGCAUAACGCCCUCCAGGUGCAUUCACGUUGUCUGAUUUGGAAUCUUAACGCCACGUGCAGUGUCCCCUUCACAGCAGGACCUAUGAAUGUUUCUCUCCAAUACAGCAGAUCCUCAAGGCAGAGCAUAAAGAUGCCUAAGUGGUCGAUGUCAUUGUUUGCAAAGGGCAAGAGAGAGCCACUGAAGGUGCUGGAGGAAGGCAGGAUGUCAACAGAAGGAAAGGGAAGGGGUUUAAAGAAGACUGGCUUGGACACACCCUUCCCCCUCUACUCCUUAAGACCCAAACAAAUGGGUAUGUGUGUGUGUGUGGGGGGGGGGGAAACAUUAGAAAGUUUGCAGAAAAUGACACUUCCCCCCCCACCCCCAAUUCCUUGUGGUUUCUCAAACAUGCAGCACCAACCCACCUCACAGCAUUUGUCCCUGCUGUUCCCUCCACCGGGUUCUUCAUUCAGGUCAAAGGUCAUCUCACCAGAGGGUGAGAUGCUCACUCAUCACAGCGCCACGUGGUUUUCUCAGAAACCCUUACUGAUAUCUGGUGCUCUACAGCAGAUCGGUUAAUUAUCUGGACCAGCUCUGUCCCGAGACAACUUCUUGCAAUGAUAGAAUGUUCUAGAUCUGUGCUGUCCAACAGGGCAGACCCAGCCGCCCGCCACACGGGGCUCCUGAACACCGAGGAACUGAACUUGUAUCCGUUCUUAACUGUUUUAUUUCAAAUGUAUUUACUUGUUCUAAAUCUAAAUAGAAACAGCCACGUGUGGCUGGUGGCUAAACUCUAUUGGGUGGUGCAGAUCUAGAAUCCCAGCUCCUCAUAGUGGGGGCACUGGUUUUCUCCUCUCCAGCACCCCCAGGGGCCCAUCGUUGUGUCUGCCAGAUGUUUGCUGAAGGAACGCACGAAGAGGGGGUGCCUGGGUGGCUCAGUCGGUUAGACGUCUGACUCUCGGUUUCCGCUCAGGUCGUGA